rnacentral:rRNA from 1 species
GAUGAACGCUGGCGGCGUGCCUAACACAUGCAAGUCGAACGGAGAUUACGGACGGAAGUUUUCGGAUGGAAGCCUGUAAUUCUUAGUGGCGGACGGGUGAGUAACGCGUGGGCAACCUGCCCUAUACAGGGGGAUAGCAGCUGGAAACGGCUGGUAAGACCGCAUAAGUCGGUUAAAUCGCAUGAUUUGAUCGGGAAAUGAGCAAUCAGGUAUAGGAUGGGCCCGCGUCCGAUUAGCCAGUUGGCAGGGUAAAAGCCUACCAAAGCGACGAUCGGUAGCCGGACUGAGAGGUCGGACGGCCACAUUGGGACUGAGACACGGCCCAAACUCCUAAGGGAGGCAGCAGUGGGGGAUAUUGAACAAUGGAGGAAACUCUGAUGCAGCGACGACGCGUGAGUGAAGAAGUAUUUCGGUAUGUAAAGCUCUAUCAGCAGGGAAGAUGAUGACGGUACCUGACUAAGAAGCCCCGGCUAACUACGUG